UGUAGGUAAACCAGCUGGUGACCUGUAUGACUGCUCACAUAGUGACUGGGCUCUUACAUUGCUGCUUGCAGACACACUGACUCCAAGGAACUCACGUAAAAAGAUCUUGAAGGGGGAAGCAGACUUAAAUAGGUAAACCAACUUACCUGUAUGACCGCUCACAUACUGACUGGGCUCCUACAUUGCUGCUUGCGGACACACUGACUCCAAGGAACUUACGCAAAACGAUCUUGAAGGGGGAAACAGACUUAAAAAGCAAUUUUGAGGAGAACCUAGAUAGGACGUUAAUUCUACGAGUGUUAGUGUAACAAGGCCGUCUCCGAAGCAAAAUACGAGGAUGUCAUUUGAGCCCCGGACAAGGUAGAUACUUGACGUCUGUGACCAGGACGUGGCAGCUUUCCCUGAAGCACGAUGGAAUACGUGAGAAUUAAUUCCCGGGGAAAACCAUAUGAAUGCAAACUGUGUGAUACUGUCUUCUCCAAUCUGAGUAGUGUAAAGAUACACAUGAGAACACACACUGGAGAGAAACCGUAUAAGUGCGAGGUGUGUGAAGCCGCAUUCUCCACU